rnacentral:rRNA from 1 species
AAAUUUGAAAUCUGGUAGCCUUCGGCUGCCCGAGUUGUAAUCUAGAGAAGUGUUUUCCGUGCCGGCCCAUGUACAAGUCCCUUGGAACAGGGCGUCAUAGAGGGUGAGAAUCCCGUCCUUGACAUGGACCCCCGGUGCUUUGUGAUACACUUUCAACGAGUCGAGUUGUUUGGGAAUGCAGCUCAAAAUGGGUGGUGAAUUCCAUCUAAAGCUAAAUAUUGGCGAGAGACCGAUAGCGAACAAGUACCGUGAGGGAAAGAUGAAAAGCACUUUGGAAAGAGAGUUAAACAGUACGUGAAAUUGUUGAAAGGGAAACGAUUGAAGUCAGUCAUGCUCUUUGGAUUCAGCCGUUCUGCGGUGUAUUUCCAUUGAGUGGGGUCAACAUCAGUUUUGAUCGCUGGAUAAAGGCACUAGGAAGGUAGCACUCUCGGGUGAACUUAUAGCCUAGCGUCAUAUACAGUGAUUGGGACUGAGGAACGCAGCAUGCCUUUAUGGCCGGGAUUCGUCCACGUACAUGCUUAGGAUGUUGACAUAAUGGCUUUAAACGACCCGUCUUG